AUGCUGGAAAGUUCGUUCAACGGUGCCCCGUAUGUCAAACCUGCAGAGGCCAACUCCAGAACACAAGGUUAUACAUGCCUUUUUCCUGUUCAUGUUGCUCCAUGGGAGGACAUCUCUAUGGACCUCGUCUUGGGCUUGCCAAGAACAAGACGAGGAAGUGAUGUUGUAUUUGUGGUCGUGGAUAGAUUCUCUAAGAUGGCUCAUUUCAUGCCAUGUCGCAAGACAACGGAUGCUCAUCAUGUGGCAAACCUAUUCUUUCGAGAAGUGGUCAGACUUCAUGGAGUUCCAAGGUCCAUUGUCUCAGGCCGUGAUAGCAAGUUUCUUGCUGCAUUUCGGCUCACUUUGUGGAAGCAAUUCAACACUAACUUCAAAUUUUUUAGCACUGCUCAUCCACAAACAGAUGGACAAACGGAAGUGGUGAACAAGUUUUUGGGUAAUCUGAUCCGUUGCAUUUGUGGAGAAAGAAAGGGACAAUGGGAUUUGGCUCUAUCUCUUGCAGAGUUCUCCUACAAUAACUCCAAGCAUAGAUCCACAUGA
rnacentral:rRNA from 1 species